AUGUUGCCUUGAUGUCCUCUCUCUUUCUCUAGAUCGGGCCCAGCACAGGCAGCGUCAGUGCAAACUUCCCCCACCCCGCCUUCCACCCAUGUGUGUCAACCCUGCCCCUGGAGGGACCAUCUCUCGAGGUAAGGGAGGAGCCUUGCCUCCAGCAACAGCUUGAUCCA
ensembl:misc_RNA